rnacentral:rRNA from 1 species
UUGGGAAUAUUGCACAAUGGGCGCAAGCCUGAUGCAGCCAUGCCGCGUGUGUGAAGAAGGCCUUCGGGUUGUAAAGCACUUUCAGCGGGGAGGAAGGCGAUAAGGUUAAUAACCUUGUCGAUUGACGUUACCCGCAGAAGAAGCACCGGCUAACUCCGUGCCAGCAGCCGCGGUAAUACGGAGGGUGCAAGCGUUAAUCGGAAUUACUGGGCGUAAAGCGCACGCAGGCGGUCUGUCAAGUCGGAUGUGAAAUCCCCGGGCUUAACCUGGGAACUGCAUUCGAAACUGGCAGGCUAGAGUCGUGUAGAGGGGGGUAGAAUUCCAGGUGUAGCGGUGAAAUGCGUAGAGAGCUGUAGGAAUACCGGUGGCGAAGGCGGCCCCCUGGACAAAGACUGACGCUCAGGUGCGAAAGCGUGGGGAGCAAACAGG